rnacentral:rRNA from 1 species
GACGAACGCUGGCGGCGUGCCUAAUACAUGCAAGUAGAACGCUGAAGAGAGGAGCUUGCUCUUCUUGGAUGAGUUGCGAACGGGUGAGUAACGCGUAGGUAACCUGCCUUGUAGCGGGGGAUAACUAUUGGAAACGAUAGCUAAUACCGCAUAACAAUGGAUGACACAUGUCAUUUAUUUGAAAGGGGCAAUUGCUCCACUACAAGAUGGACCUGCGUUGUAUUAGCUAGUAGGUGAGGUAAUGGCUCACCUAGGCGACGAUACAUAGCCGACCUGAGAGGGUGAUCGGCCACACUGGGACUGAGACACGGCCCAGACUCCUACGGGAGGCAGCAGUAGGGAAUCUUCGGCAAUGGGGGCAACCCUGACCGAGCAACGCCGCGUGAGUGAAGAAGGUGUUCGGAUCGUAAAGCUCUGUUGUAAGUCAAGAACGGGUGUGAGAGUGGAAAGUUCACACUGUGACGGUAGCCUACCAGAAAGGGACGGCUAACUACGU